rnacentral:rRNA from 1 species
CUUAGCGGCGGACGGGUGAGUAAUACUUAGGAAUCUGGCUAUUAGUGGGGGACAACAUUUCGAAAGGGAUGCUAAUACCGCAUACGUCCUACGGGAGAAAGCAGGGGAUCUUCGGACCUUGCGCUAAUAGAUGAGCCUAAGUCGGAUUAGCUAGUUGGUGGGGUAAAGGCCUACCAAGGCGACGAUCUGUAGCGGGUCUGAGAGGAUGAUCCGCCACACUGGGACUGAGACACGGCCCAGACUCCUACGGGAGGCAGCAGUGGGGAAUAUUGGACAAUGGGGGGAACCCUGAUCCAGCCAUGCCGCGUGUGUGAAGAAGGCCUUCGGGUUGUAAAGCACUUUAAGCGAGGAGGAGGGUGUUGAGGUUAAUACUACCAGGUACUGGACGUUACUCGCAGAAGAAGCACCGGCUAACUCUGUGCCAGCAGCCGCGGUAAUACAGAGGGUGCGAGCGUUAAUCGGAUUUACUGGGCGUAAAGCGUGCGUAGGCGGCUAAUUGAGUCGGAUGUGAAAUCCCCGGGCUUAACUUGGGAAUUGCAUUCGAUACUGGUUAGCUAGAGUCUUGUAGAGGGGGGUAGAAUUCCAGGUGUAGCGGUGAAAUGCGUAGAGAUCUGGAGGAAUACCGGUGGCGAAGGCGGCCAUCUGGCCUAACACUGACGCUCAGGUGCGAAAGCGUGGGGAGCAAACAGGAUUAG